rnacentral:rRNA from 1 species
CCUACGGGUGGCACCAGUGAGGAAUAUUGCACAAUGGGGGCAACCCUGAUGCAGCAACGCCGCGUGGGGGAUGAAGGCCCUUGGGUCGUAAACCCCUUUUCUGCGGGAAGAGAAUGGACGGUACAGCAGGAAUAAGUCACGGCUAACUACGUGCCAGCAGCCGCGGUAAUACGUAGGUGGCAAGCGUUAUCCGGAAUUACUGGGCGUAAAGCGCACGCAGGCGGCCAAUUAAGUCUGACGUGAAAGCUCCUGGCUUAACUGGGAGAGGUCGUUGGAAACUGAUUGGCUUGAGGUAGUGAGAGGGAUGCGGAAUUCCCGGUGUAGUGGUGGAAUGCGUAGAUAUCGGGAGGAACACCAGUGGCGAAAGCGGCAUCCUGGCACUAUUCUGACGCUCAUGUGCGAAAGCGUGGGGAGCGAACAGGAUUAGAUACCCCAGUAGUC